rfam:Camelus ferus unplaced genomic scaffold scaffold1276, whole genome shotgun sequence.
GUGGAAAUAGCUCAGUGGCAGAGCGCCUGCUUAGCAUGCAUGAGGUCCUAAGUUCAAUCCCCAGUAUCUCCA